AAAUUGAAGAGUUUGAUCAUGGCUCAGAUUGAACGCUGGCGGCAGGCCUAACACAUGCAAGUCGAACGGUAACAGGAAAUAGCUUGCUGUUUGCUGACGAGUGGCGGACGGGUGAGUAAUGUCUGGGAAACUGCCUGAUGGAGGGGGAUAACUACUGGAAACGGUAGCUAAUACCGCAUAACGUCGCAAGACCAAAGAGGGGGACCUUCGGGCCUCUUGCCAUCGGAUGUGCCCAGAUGGGAUUAGCUAGUAGGUGGGGUAACGGCUCACCUAGGCGACGAUCCCUAGCUGGUCUGAGAGGAUGACCAGCCACACUGGAACUGAGACACGGUCCAGACUCCUACGGGAGGCAGCAGUGGGGAAUAUUGCACAAUGGGCGCAAGCCUGAUGCAGCCAUGCCGCGUGUAUGAAGAAGGCCUUCGGGUUGUAAAGUACUUUCAGCGGGGAGGAAGGGAGUAAAGUUAAUACCUUUGCUCAUUGACGUUACCCGCAGAAGAAGCACCGGCUAACUCCGUGCCAGCAGCCGCGGUAAUACGGAGGGUGCAAGCGUUAAUCGGAAUUACUGGGCGUAAAGCGCACGCAGGCGGUUUGUUAAGUCAGAUGUGAAAUCCCCGGGCUCAACCUGGGAACUGCAUCUGAUACUGGCAAGCUUGAGUCUCGUAGAGGGGGGUAGAAUUCCAGGUGUAGCGGUGAAAUGCGUAGAGAUCUGGAGGAAUACCGGUGGCGAAGGCGGCCCCCUGGACGAAGACUGACGCUCAGGUGCGAAAGCGUGGGGAGCAAACAGGAUUAGAUACCCUGGUAGUCCACGCCGUAAACGAUGUCGACUUGGAGGUUGUGCCCUUGAGGCGUGGCUUCCGGAGCUAACGCGUUAAGUCGACCGCCUGGGGAGUACGGCCGCAAGGUUAAAACUCAAAUGAAUUGACGGGGGCCCGCACAAGCGGUGGAGCAUGUGGUUUAAUUCGAUGCAACGCGAAGAACCUUACCUGGUCUUGACAUCCACGGAAGUUUUCAGAGAUGAGAAUGUGCCUUCGGGAACCGUGAGACAGGUGCUGCAUGGCUGUCGUCAGCUCGUGUUGUGAAAUGUUGGGUUAAGUCCCGCAACGAGCGCAACCCUUAUCCUUUGUUGCCAGCGGUCCGGCCGGGAACUCAAAGGAGACUGCCAGUGAUAAACUGGAGGAAGGUGGGGAUGACGUCAAGUCAUCAUGGCCCUUACGACCAGGGCUACACACGUGCUACAAUGGCGCAUACAAAGAGAAGCGACCUCGCGAGAGCAAGCGGACCUCAUAAAGUGCGUCGUAGUCCGGAUUGGAGUCUGCAACUCGACUCCAUGAAGUCGGAAUCGCUAGUAAUCGUGGAUCAGAAUGCCACGGUGAAUACGUUCCCGGGCCUUGUACACACCGCCCGUCACACCAUGGGAGUGGGUUGCAAAAGAAGUAGGUAGCUUAACCUUCGGGAGGGCGCUUACCACUUUGUGAUUCAUGACUGGGGUGAAGUCGUAACAAGGUAACCGUAGGGGAACCUGCGGUUGGAUCACCUCCUUA
rnacentral:rRNA from 1 species